CAAGAUCCUCAUUUCCACAUUAACAGCAUCUUGAAGGAGGCUCAUUUCUACAGCCUCCAGCAGAGAGGACACUCUUUGACAUGAUGGCCUAGGCAUCCUUCUUUUGUUUAUAAAAAUCAGUGACAUUCAUGCAAAUCAGUCUUGGCUUUUGUCUGUAUUUUUCAGUAAAAGGUCAAUGGGCAUUGUAUUUUGCUGUUUUGUUCCACCACUACAAUCUCAAAGGGUCAUUCUUGACAGUUUGAUAUGUUUCCUGUCACGUCUGAUGUCUUAUUCAUAUUAAAAUAGCAGCAUGAGGACUUCUCCUGAGACUGAAUGGAUUACAGGUUCAGUUCACAUUGGUUUCCAGGUUGCUCAUUUAGGGUGUCCACAUUAAAUGUUGUUUUAAAAAGUGAUUUCCUUAUUUUGAAAAAUUUAGUGGCCUGAUAAAAGUUUGUGUGUGUUUCAUUGAAAUGUAAAAGAAUAAACAAUGGAGAAGCCAACACCAAACCAGUAAUGAGCAUUGGCAAGGGGGGAAAUGUGGGUAGUGUGUUCUCAUUCUGAUAUGAAUGUGGGCUGAUCCUUGGAAGGGAAACAUCUACAGAAAUCCUCCUCUACCUAUACUGGUGCAAAUGUCAGCCCGCUUAGGUUGUGAACUUGAACCCUGUGUCUGGUAACUACAUUCCUUGUAUUCCAAAGGAGAUGCCUUCUUCCUUUCAUGCUCCUGUGUAUGCCCUUCAGUUUUGUGACAAGCACUUAUAAUUCAGUCAGAGAAGUGCAUAGCAGUGUCUUAAACACAAAAUCUGGAUAUUUACUGCUUCUGUGUUGUCUCUAUCUAUUAUGUCUAAUGGUGAUAAAAUCUAAGCUAUUAC
rnacentral:lncRNA from 1 species